UACGUAGGCAGCGAGCGUUGUUCGGAGUUACUGGGCGUAAAGGGUGUGUAGGCGGUUCUUUAAGUUUGGUGUGAAAUCUCCCGGCUCAACCGGGAGGGUGCGCCGAAUACUGAGGGACUAGAGUGCGGGAGAGGAAAGUGGAAUUCCUGGUGUAGCGGUGAAAUGCGUAGAUAUCAGGAGGAACACCGGUGGUGUAGACGGCUUUCUGGACCGUAACUGACGCUGAGACACGAAAGCUAGGGGAGCAAACAGG
rnacentral:rRNA from 1 species